CGGUGGAUGAUGUGGAUUAAUUCGAUGCAACGACGAAAACCUUACCUACCCUUGACAUGCCAGGAACCUGCAGAGAUGCGGGGGUGCCCGAAAGGAAAUUGGAACACAGGUGCUGCAUGGCUGUCGUCAGCUCGUGUCGUGAGAUGUUGGGUUAAGUCCCGCAACGAGCGCAACCCUUAUCAUUAGUUGCUACGCAAGGGCACUCUAAUGAGACUGCCGGUGACAAACCGGAGGAAGGUGGGGAUGACGUCAAGUCCUCAUGGCCCUUAUGGGUAGGGCUUCACACGUCAUACAAUGGUCGGUACAGAGGGUUGCCAAGCCGCGAGGUGGAGCCAAUCCCAGAAAGCCGAUCGUAGUCCGGAUUGUUCUCUGCAACUCGAGAGCAUGAAGUCGGAAUCGCUAGUAAUCGCGGAUCAGCAUGUCGCGGUGAAUACGUUCCCGGGUCUU
rnacentral:rRNA from 1 species